rnacentral:rRNA from 1 species
CACGUAGGGGGCAAGCGUUGUCCGGAUUUAUUGGGCGUAAAGAGCUCGUAGGCGGUUCGGUAAGUCGGGUGUGAAACCUCCAGGCUCAACCUGGAGACGCCACCCGAUACUGCUGUGACUCGAGUCCGGUAGGGGAGCGUGGAAUUCCUGGUGUAGCGGUGAAAUGCGCAGAUAUCAGGAGGAACACCAGCGGCGAAGGCGGCGCUCUGGGCCGGUACUGACGCUGAGGAGCGAAAGCGUGGGUAGCAAACAGG